GGGCGAGUAACUGAGCCGGGGCGACUCUCGUGAGGGGGGCGUCGCGUCCGCCCGCUUCCGCAGUGAAAGUGGCUGUUCGUCCCCACGUCGAUCGGCACCGCACUUUCCUCGUCUUUCCGGCGCCGGGCGCCAGAGCCCCCCAAGCCCCCUUUCCGUCUCGCUUCCUUGCUUCCCUCCGGCAACUUGGGAAGCCAGAGAACAAAAGGGAAGGGCUGGUUUGGGGGUAGGAAUCGGCUUUUUUCCUGGGAGAACCGAGGUUGCGGUUCCAAUCGGAUACACGCAUGUGAUGGCUGGAGCUCUGGCAGCUGUUUUGGGCCAUGAGGGCAAAGGCCACACCCUAGGGAUGGAGAAGUAGGAGUUGGAAAGAGCGUGGAUCCCUGAUGACAGGUCGCUGCUGUAAUUUGGUCCCUGCGUACCUUUCCACUUGGUCUCUCGCCACGGCCUCCCGUCCUUCACCUGAGCUUUCGGAGCCGUUUUCCAACCACCCGUACUGCUCUGAAUGCACCUGUGUCCACAGGGGCUUCUUAGUGCUCCUCUGGGUGUCGGGGAGCAGGUGUCUGCGGCCUGUCUACUGUCCCCGAGUCUGACCUCUGCAGAGACCCUCAUCCCGGCAAGAUGGGUUUCUAGGCAUUCCACAGCAUGAACCAGGCUGACAGAUCCACCAGAGGGAGACAGACUGAAAGGAAACACCGAGGAAGAGGUCAGAAGGGAACAGGCACCUUGGAAGUCUUCUAGAUUAGGGGCAGCUGAUUGAAGAAGCCACCUGGAUUACAGGAUUUACUCGUCAGCAGAGCGUGUCCAGAGGGGCGCCGGGGAGUGUUUCUACAGCCUCACCGCUCCGUGCAUCACUACGCCAUCCACACGCCUGUGCCUGUGCAGGGGGCUUAAUCACAGUCGGUUCUCUGGCCCACUGCAGAGAAAAAUCCACCAUCAGAAAGACUUCUGUCCCUCCCCCCAGAUACAAUGGUUUGGGGCACAACAGAGAGUUCAGUGUUCUAUCUGGGUUAACAUUUCCUCAGUCCCCUUGGCCACACAGACACGAAUCAAUGAUGGCAUUUUCCCAUCUUCUGUGAUAAGCAGUGUCUUCACAACUGUGGUGUAGGUUUAUAUGGUGUAGGACUCGAUGGGCUUAAUUCAUGUGAACUUAUGCCCAAAGAAUGAGUCUUGUUCACUUUGCCUUUUAUUUCUCCCAGCUGCAGUUCUUAAAUAUUAUUGAGUCUCUGUACACAAGUUCUCAGGGCCCCCACACCCACUCCAGUUAACAACCGCUGGGCUUGAGCAGCUGGAGCAUCUAUCCCUGAGAAAAGAAAAGGAGAACUAACUUCUAGUUGAUCAGUUUGCUCCCCCUCGCCUGAAAUUUGACAAGGGGGGAGGGGUGUGUGCAAACUGCUACCCUAGAAAUCUGUCCUACUGUUUGAGAGUCGAGAGCAGGGCUGUCCAGUAUCAUGUAAGCUGCAUGUGACUUAAAUCUUCUAAUGGCAUAUUAAAAAAGGAAAAGGCAACUCAUAUUUUAUAAUCUAUUCAACACAACAUAUCAAGAAUAUUUAAAUAUGUAACAACAUAAAAUGUCAUUAUUUUACAUUCUUUUCUCAGGCACCCAGGGUGUAUAGGACCAGCCAGAUUCUAAGUGCCCUCCUCUCCCACCCCUCCCCUCCGUCAUUGAUUAUAGGAAUGAGACAGGGUCUUGGGAUGUGGGUUAAAAUGUAGCUACUCAGUCACGAGAGGACUGCAUUCUCGCUGGCCGAGAAGAAACCAAAUUCAGCUCCCAGUCUCUGGCCCCUGUCCUCCUCCAUCUGGGCUUUCCCGGCCCCUUUGUUUGGUGGUGGGUCUGUGUUUGAGGCUGCUUCUGACUUUGUGAAGUUGUAGGCCAGCGGAGUUCCUGUGUCCCUGCCUGUGCUCAAAUUUAUGCAAACGUCAAAAUUACAGUAUUCCUCUUUUCUCAGCGCAAAUCCCCUGCUCACUCCCCGUAAUUCAUUUAGAAACCACAUCGUAAAACUGCACAGCACAGAAAAGUUCCAGGUCAGCAAAGGUGUGAGGACAGAAGCAUGAAAAGAAUUGUGGGGGCCCUGUGUGAACUCCCAACACCUGAGCCAAAGUCGAAAGAUGCUUUUGUCCUCAGCUCAGGAAAAGGGUGAAAAGUGCCUUUAAAAAAUAGUCUACAUGUUCCUGAGCCCUGGACCCACCUACCCUGCUCUUUCCCUCGCUCCCCUUUCUAACACAAUGCUCCCUUUC